rnacentral:rRNA from 1 species
UACGAAGGGGGCGAGCGUUGUUCGGAUUUACUGGGCGUAAAGGGCGCGUAGGCGGCCAGCACAAGUCAGUUGUGAAAUCUCCGGGCUUAACUCGGAAAGGUCAACUGAUACUGUGCGACUAGAGUGCGGAAGGGGCAACUGGAAUUCUCGGUGUAGCGGUGAAAUGCGUAGAUAUCGAGAGGAACACCUGCGGCGAAGGCGGGUUGCUGGGCCGACACUGACGCUGAUGCGCGAAAGCCAGGGGAGCGAACGGG